ensembl:lncRNA
CCUGUGAGGUGUAGCUGUGGAGCCACAGUCCGAGUCCGCCAGCUUCUGAGGCCCUGAAACCUAAUACCAUUCUGACUUGCCCAUCCUCCAGUCUUCCAUUUCUCACUUUGGAAUUUACCACACCCCAUCUGCUGGUAGGCUGUAACACUCCUACAAUUUUCCUCAGCCUCUUUCUUGGCAAGAUUUCCUCUAAAUAAGUCGCUAAGAGAGUAAGCCUUGCGUGCUGCAGUCCAUGGAGUUACAAAGAGUUGGACAAAACUGAGCAACUGAACAACAACAAAGAGAAAUGGCUAUCUUCCUCUGCUGGUGCUGCUGCUAAGUUGUUUCAGUCAUGUCUGACUCUGUGCAACCCCAUAGACGGCCUCCUACCAGGCUCCUCUGUCCCUGGGAUUCUCCAGGCAAGAACGCUGGAGUGGUUUGCCAUUUCCUUCUCCAAUGCAGGAAAGUGAAAAGUGAAAAUGAAGUCGCUCAGUCAUGUCCGACUCUUAGCGACCUCACGGACUGCAGCCUACCAGGCUCCUCCGUCCAUGGGAUUUUCCAGGCAAGAGUACUGGAGUGGGGUGCCAUUGCCUUCUCCGAGUCUUCCCCUCCUUCUAUCUAAACCAUGUGGAUAAGUUUUCCAAAAUAUUUGCCAUGAGAACCUGGUGGUCCUCCUGAAAGUAAAAUUCACCAGCAUGUGAAUAUGCCUCCAAGUCUGGGGCUCUAAAUUUUACCUAUCAAGCAAAUUUACACUGAUCCUCCAGAAACUCAUCAAUUACUGUUUUACUGUGUCUAUGGGUAGCCUCUUCUCCUGGUAAAUUGUGAUUCUGUGUAUUUACUUGCGUUUCUGGUGUUUGCAAUAAUGGUUGGCCCUGUGACCUCAAUUCUUUAGUUCAUGUGAGAAGAGUUGCUGAUUUUACAUUCAGUGUUUUUUUUGUUGUUGUUUUUUUUCUUCUUAUUUUUGAGCGAGAAUGACAACUUUCAAGCACCUUAUAAGUUAAAAUGGAAAUUGACCAACUACUUUAGUU